rnacentral:SRP_RNA from 1 species
GCUGGGCGUGGUGGUGCACGCCUGUAAUCCCAGCUACUCAGGAAGCUGAGGCAGAAGAAUCGCUUGAACUCGGGAGGCAGAGGUUGCAGUGAGCCAAGAUUGCACCACUGCACUCCAGCCUGGGUGACAGAAUGAGACUCUGUCUCAA